AUGGGGGGACCAUCCUCCAAGGCUAAAUACUCAUCAUCGACCGAUAGUGAACCAGUACCGUGAGGGAAAGGCGAAAAGAACCCCGGGAGGGGAGUGAAAUAGAACCUGAAACCUGAUGCAUACAAACAGUGGGAGCACCUUGUGGUGUGACUGCGUACCUUUUGUAUAAUGGGUCAACGACUUACAUUCAGUAGCGAGCUUAACCGGAUAGGGGAGGCGUAGGGAAACCGAGUCUUAAUAGGGCGAAGAGUUGCUGGGUGUAGACCCGAAACCGAGUGAUCUAUCCAUGGCCAGGUUGAAGGUGCCGUAACAGGUACUGGAGGACCGAACCCACGCAUGUUGCAAAAUGCGGGGAUGAGCUGUGGAUAGGGGUGAAAGGCUAAACAAACUCGGAGAUAGCUGGUUCUCCCCGAAAACUAUUUAGGUAGUGCCUCGAGCAAGACACUGAUGGGGGUAAAGCACUGUUAUGGCUAGGGGGUUAUUGCAACUUACCAACCCAUGGCAAACUAAGAAUACCAUCAAGUGGUUCCUCGGGAGACAGACAGCGGGUGCUAACGUCCGUUGUCAAGAGGGAAACAACCCAGACCGCCAGCUAAGGUCCCAAAUGAUAGAUUAAGUGGUAAACGAAGUGGGAAGGCACAGACAGCCAGGAUGUUGGCUUAGAAGCAGCCAUCAUUUAAAGAAAGCGUAAUAGCUCACUGGUCGAGUCAUCCUGCGCGGAAGAUGUAACGGGGCUCAAAUCUAUAACCGAAGCUGCGGAUGCACCUAGUGCAUGGUAGGGGAGCGUUCUGUAGGCCUGAGAAGGUGUUUCGUAAGGAAUGCUGGAGGUAUCAGAAGUGCGAAUGUUGACAUGAGUAGCGAUAAAGCGGGUGAAAAGCCCGCUCGCCGAAAGCCCAAGGUUUCCUACGCAACGUUCAUCGGCGUAGGGUGAGUCGGCCCCUAAGGCGAGGCAGAGAUGCGUAGUCGAUGGGAAACGGGUUAAUAUUCCCGUACUUGAUUCAAAUGCGAUGUGGGGACGGAGAAGGUUAUGCUGGCAAUCUGUUGGAAUAGAUUGUUUAAGCCGGUAGGUAGAAGGAGUAGGCAAAUCCGCUUCUUUAAUACCGAGACGUGAUGACGAGUGUCUACGGACAUGAAGCAGCAAAUACCACGCUUCCAGGAAAAGCCACUAAGCUUCAGUUUGAAUUGAACCGUACCGCAAACCGACACAGGUGGGCAGGAUGAGAAUUCUAAGGCGCUUGAGAGAACUCGGGAGAAGGAACUCGGCAAAUUGAUACCGUAACUUCGGGAGAAGGUAUGCCCUCUAAUGUAAAGGACUUGCUCCGGAAGCAUCUGAGGGUCGCAGAGAAUCGGUGGCUGCGACUGUUUAUUAAAAACACAGCACUCUGCAAACACGAAAGUGGACGUAUAGGGUGUGACGCCUGCCCGGUGCUGGAAGGUUAAUUGAAGAUGUGAGAGCAUCGGAUCGAAGCCCCAGUAAACGGCGGCCGUAACUAUAACGGUCCUAAGGUAGCGAAAUUCCUUGUCGGGUAAGUUCCGACCCGCACGAAUGGCGUAACGAUGGCCACACUGUCUCCUCCCGAGACUCAGCGAAGUUG
rnacentral:rRNA from 1 species